rnacentral:rRNA from 1 species
UACGUAGGGUGCAAGCGUUAUCCGGAAUUAUUGGGCGUAAAGAGCUCGUAGGCGGUGUGUCGCGUCGGCCGUGAAAACCUGCAGCUUAACUGUGGGCGUGCGGUCGAUACGGGCAUCACUGGAGUUCGGCAGGGGAGACUGGAAUUCCUGGUGUAGCGGUGAAAUGCGCAGAUAUCAGGGGGAACACCGGUGGCGAAGGCGGGUCUCUGGGCCGAUACUGACGCUGAGGAGCGAAAGCGUGGGGAGCGAACAGG